rnacentral:lncRNA from 10 species
UUUAGCUACAAAUGAUUGUCCUCUUCCCUGAAAAUUACAGAAGAGGAAAGCAACAGUGUGUUCAGCAAGCUGGAACUAAACUGUUACUGAAUGGAGAGUUCCCAUCCUGCCUCAGUGGAAUCAAAGAAAAGAGAAAGGCUCCAAAAUGAACACAAUGCGUGUUAUUUGCUACCAUAAACUGUGCAACUGGUUUCUACUGCUGUGUUGCAAUUGAAUAGUAAUCAGGAGAAGUUACACGUUGUUCUUAGAAAUAAUACAACGAAUCCUGUCAAUCUUAAGUCCUGACACUGAAUUUAACGCUCUCUGUUUAGUCCUACCAUCAAGGAUGAUUUGCAGGUGAAGAAUUCUUGAUAGUCAGAUGCAGACUACGUCUUCAGAUCCUAUGGCCUAAGGUUAUUAAGGUGGGAGAAGCAAAACAAAUGCGGUUCUCAUCCAGUAAUAAUGGAUUUACAAGAAUUUGAAACAAAACUUUCCUUCCAGCUACUGCUUUCAUGUCAGAGAAAUAAAAUACAUGUACAAGAUUUAAAGCUUUAUGUGUCUAACCCUUUCUGACCCCUUUUACAUUCAGUUAUUAAUAAUAAUAACUAUGAUAAUAUUGCUUAUGCCCAGGGCUGAAAUGAGGGUUAAUUAGUUAAUAUUUAUAAAGCUUUCUGAAAAUGAAAAGUACUGUUUAAGCCCUAAGUGUAUUCUUUUCUUCUUUCACUCUCUUCUUUCAUUUCCUUCUUUUAUCACAGAUCAAUUGAUUCUUCCUCCCAUCUGGCUAAUUUUUUUCACUGGUUAUAUUUCCUGCUCGUUUUGGAUUAUUGCCCUUGACUCCACAUUGACCUCAAUCACUCUUACCCUUCAACAUUGUGUUUGCUCUUUUUGCCUCCCACGCUUUAGUCACUUCUUUCUCACUUUCAUUUCUUCUUUCUAGUCUUCCUUUAUCCACUCCUAACACUAAUCUCGUAGCUGUAGACUUAUCUUUUUCAUUGUCCUCAUUUUUUAAGCAUAGGUGAAAUACCGGAAUUGAUAUAGAUUUAAUUUAAUUUUAUCUCCUAUGUUAUGCAUUAUUGAGACCAGAAAGUAGAUAAAUCAAAUUGGUCAUACCCAAUCCUUUCCUACAAGAUAGUAAAUGUUUUGAAGUCACAGACUAUUGCCAUCUGGAAUAGUCCUUCUUUUGUAACCCAGUAUAAUCUCCACAAAAAUGUUAUUUUUAAAAAAUCCCUCCACUCUAUAACAUUCUGAUGACCUGUAAGCUUUCAAGAAGUCUUCAGUGAAAACCUGUCUCUACUAAAAAUACAAAAAAUUAGCCGGGUGCGGGUGUCGGGCGCCUGUAAUCCCAGCUACUCAGGAGGCUGAGGCGGGAG